rnacentral:lncRNA from 1 species
UCCAACUUUCACUCAGAAAUACACCACAUAUCAUUGAUCUAAAGUAUCACAUAAAGAUUACAACAUCUAAACACUUAGAUCACUGAAUAUGUGAAACCCUAAUGAGGAAUCAGGUUCUCUCUCUAAAAGGCAGAGGAAUAGAUGAACAACUGAAGAGACCUACCCAAACUCAAGCGUCAAUAGGUGAUAUAAAUCAGAAGAGCCUGGAAGCCACAUCCAAUGAUUAUGAAGGAGUCAGGUGUCAUCAAUCCAACCGUAGGCAAUCACUUAAAGAAGUGGUAUUUGAUAAAACACGCUUUUAGUGAAACACACUUUCGCUUCAUUUGAUCCAAGGUUUGAAUCACAAAACAACCCGACUACUAUAC